ensembl:lncRNA
AUGCCAGUGCUCUGUGCUGGUGCUGCUCGUGCUGUGCCAGGGAAAUCUGCCCCUGGCAUCCUUGUCUCCACUGGUGCUGCUUCUGCUCCAUCAGAGGAAUCCAGCUCUGGCAUCCUGUGCUGUGCCAGUGCUGCUCCUGCUGUGCCAGGGAAAUCUGGCCCUGGCCCCCUGCUCUGUGCUGUGCUGAGCCACUGCUGCUGCUGCUGCUCCCCUGUGCUGCGGGAAGCUGCCCCUGGCCCCCUGCUCCCUGCAGGAGCUCCGUGUGCCAGCACCUGCCCUGCACUGCUCCUGCUGCAGCUGCAUCCCACCGGGAUUUCAUCCACGCUCAGCCAGCUCGGGCUGCACUCCUGGCUUGGGCUGCAGCCCCAGCAGUGCUGCAUUCCUGGUUUGGGCUGCAGCCCCAGCAGUGCUGCAUUCCUGGUUUGGGCUGCAGCCCCAGCAGUGCUGCAUUCCUGGUUUGGGCUGCAGCCCCAGCAGUGCUGCAUUCCUGGUUUGGGCUGCAGCCCCAGCAGUGCUGCAUUCCUGGUUUGGGCUGCAGCCCCAGCAGUGCUGCAUUCCUGGUUUGGGCUGCAGCCCCAGCAGUGCUGCAUUCCUGGUUUGGGCUGCAGCCCCAGCAGUGCUGCAUUCCUGGUUUGGGCUGCAGCCCCAGCAGUGCUGCAUUCCUGGUUUGGGCUGCAGCCCCAGCAGUGCUGCAUUCCUGGUUUGGGCUGCAGCCCCAGCAGUGCUGCAUUCCUGGUUUGGGCUGCAGCCCCAGCAGUGCUGCAUUCCUGGUUUGGGCUGCAGCCCCAGCAGUGCUGCAUUCCUGGUUUGGGCUGCAGCCCCAGCAGUGCUGCAUUCCUGGUUUGGGCUGCAGCCCCAGCCCUGCUGCCUCCCCAGCCCUGCUCCAUCCCCAGCAGUGCCAAUGUCCCACCUGACAAAUCAAUAAAGCUCAUCCCCACAAAUCAAUAAACCGUUCCCACAGCCUGCUUGUGAUUCCUGACUCCCGAGGGCGGAGGGAUGCAAGGACACCUUAGAGCUGCCCAUUCCCCCUGGAGGGCU